rnacentral:rRNA from 1 species
GACGAACGCUGGCGGCGUGCUUAACACAUGCAAGUCGAACGGAAAGGCCCUGCUUUUGUGGGUGCUCGAGUGGCGAACGGGUGAGUAACACGUGAGUAACCUGCCCUUGACUUUGGGAUAACUUCAGGAAACUGGGGCUAAUACCGGAUAGGAGCUCCUGCUGCAUGGUGGGGGUUGGAAAGUUUCGGCGGUUGGGGAUGGACUCGCGGCUUAUCAGCUUGUUGGUGGGGUAGUGGCUUACCAAGGCUUUGACGGGUAGCCGGCCUGAGAGGGUGACCGGCCACAUUGGGACUGAGAUACGGCCCAGACUCCUACGGGAGGCAGCAGUGGGGAAUAUUGCACAAUGGGCGGAAGCCUGAUGCAGCAACGCCGCGUGCGGGAUGACGGCCUUCGGGUUGUAACCCGCUUUCGCCUGUGACGAAGCGUGAGUGACGGUAAUGGGUAAAGAAGCACCGGCUAACUACGUG